rnacentral:rRNA from 1 species
AAUACGGAGGGUGCGAGCGUUAAUCGGAAUUACUGGGCGUAAAGCGCAUGCAGGUGGUUUGUUAAGUCAGAUGUGAAAGCCCGGGGCUCAACCUCGGAAUUGCAUUUGAAACUGGCAGACUAGAGUACUGUAGAGGGGGGUAGAAUUUCAGGUGUAGCGGUGAAAUGCGUAGAGAUCUGAAGGAAUACCGGUGGCGAAGGCGGCCCCCUGGACAGAUACCGACACUCAGAUGCGAAAGCGUGGGGAGCAAACAGGAUUAGAUACCCCGGUAGUCCAUGCCGUAAACGAUGUCUACUUGGAGGUUGUGGCCUUGAGCCGUGGCUUUCGGAGCUAACGCGUUAAGUAGACCGCCUGGGGAGUACGGUCGCAAGAUUAAAACUCAAAUGAAUUGACGGGGGCCCGCACAAGCGGUGGAGCAUGUGGUUUAAUUCGAUGCAACGCGAAGAACCUUACCUACUCUUGACAUCCAGAGAACUUUCCAGAGAUGGAUUGGUGCCUUCGGGAACUCUGAGACAGGUGCUGCAUGGCUGUCGUCAGCUCGUGUUGUGAAAUGUCGGGUUAAGUCCCGCAACGAGCGCAACCCUUAUCCUUGUUUGCCAGCGAGUAAUGUCGGGAACUCCAGGGAGACUGCCGGUGAUAAACCGGAGGAAGGUGGGGACGACGUCAAGUCAUCAUGGCCCUCACGAGUAGGGCUACACACGUGCUACAAUGGCGCAUACAGAGGGCAGCCAACUUGCGAGAGUGAGCGAAUCCCAAAAAGUGCGUCGUAGUCCGGAUCGGAGUCUGCAACUCGACUCCGUGAAGUCGGAAUCGCUAGUAAUCGUGGAUCAGAAUGCCACGGUGAAUACGUUCCCGGGCCUUGUACACACCGCCCGUCACACCAUGGGAGUGGGCUGCAAAAGAAGUAGGUAGUUUAACCUUCGGGAGGACGCUUACCACUUUGUGGUUCAUGACUGG